GACGAACGCUGGCGGCGUGCCUAAUACAUGCAAGUCGAGCGGACAGACGGGAGCUUGCUUCCUGAUGUUAGCGGCGGACGGGUGAGUAACACGUGGGUAACCUGCCUGUAAGACUGGGAUAACUCCGGGAAACAGGGGCUAAUACCGGAUGGUUGUCUGAACCGCAUGGUUCAGACAUAAAAGGUGGCUUCGGCUACCAAUUACAGAUGGACCCGUGGCGCAUUAGCUAGUUGGUGAGGUAACGGCUCAACAAGGCAACGAUGCGUAGGCGACCUGAGAGGGGGAUCGGCCACACUGGGACUGAGACACGGCCCAGACUCCUACGGGAGGCAGCAGGAGGGAAUCUUCCGCAAAGGACGAAAGUCUGACGGAGCAACGCCGCGUGAGUGAUGAAGGUUUUCGGAUCGUAAAGCUCUGUUGUUAAGGAAGAACAAGUGCCGUUCAAAUAGGGCGGCACCUUGACGGUACCUAACCAGAAAGCCACGGCUAACUACGUG
rnacentral:rRNA from 1 species